ACUAAUAACACCCUAACAACAACACUCUCGCCGAUUCCUCUCUUCUUUCUUGUUCAACUCUAGUCUCUACCUCUCUGAUUCGUGCAACCAUCGUCAUGACUAUCUGUGGCCAACAGAAAGACCGGCGUCGUCACCGGACAACCGGCUCUGGUUCAGCCGAGCUGCAACAACAAGAUGCGCAUCAUUGGUCUGGAGAGUGACAUUAAUGUGUUGAAGGUUGGCAUGGACAAGGUAGACGACAAGUUGGUUGCACAACGACAGUUUUUCUCUCACGUUUUAAAGUCUAUUGGAUUCCUCUACCUCCUACUGCCCCUCCUAUUCCUCCUACUGCUGCUCCUUCUCCUACUUCGGCUGGUUCGUCUACCGCUGUUGGUUCUCCUACUAUGGAUGUCUCUACACCUCCAUUUGUCUCUCAACCUCCAGUUGUCCCUCAACUUACUGCUGUUCCCCGUUCCGUCGCUGUUGCCGCUGCUGCUCCUGCUGCUUGUGGUUCUUAUGAGGAUUGGCGUACUUAACUAGGACUAUAAGAAGUAGUUUGUUUUAGGCCUUUUGAAACCUUUUGGUAAAAUUGUAAACUACUUAACUUAAUUUGCUAAUCUAAUUUUAGGAUUUAAUUUGAAAAUUGUUUAAUUUUAGUUUU